GAGAUUUUGGGGCAAACCGGUUGAAAAGCCGGGACGCAAAGGCAUGGGUCGUCGAUUUCAACCGGGAAAUAACGAUUGCCAGUCUGCAUUC
rnacentral:ncRNA from 1 species